GACGAACGCUGGCGGCGUGCUUAACACAUGCAAGUCGAACGGAAAGGCCCUGCUUGCAGGGUACUCGAGUGGCGAACGGGUGAGUAACACGUGGGUGAUCUGCCCUGCACUUCGGGAUAAGCUUGGGAAACUGGGUCUAAUACCGGAUAGGGGCCAUCUUUAGUGUGGUGGUUGGAAAGUUUUUUCGGUGUAGGAUGAGCUCGCGGCCUAUCAGCUUGUUGGUGGGGUAAUGGCCUACCAAGGCGGCGACGGGUAGCCGGCCUGAGAGGGUGUACGGCCACAUUGGGACUGAGAUACGGCCCAGACUCCUACGGGAGGCAGCAGUGGGGAAUAUUGCACAAUGGGCGCAAGCCUGAUGCAGCGACGCCGCGUGGGGGAUGAAGGCCUUCGGGUUGUAAACUCCUUUCGCUAGGGACGAAGCUUUUUUGUGACGGUACCUAGAGAAGAAGCACCGGCUAACUACGUG
rnacentral:rRNA from 1 species